AAAUACGAUCAUACCAGCACUAAUACACCGAAUCCCAUCAGAACUCCGCAGUUAAGCGUACUUAAACGAAAAUAAUACUAAAAUAAAUAACCUCCUGAAAAAUCCUCGUAUUACACCUC
rnacentral:rRNA from 1 species